rnacentral:rRNA from 1 species
GAUAGUAAUGUGAAUUGCAGAAUUCAGUGAAUCAUCGAAUCUUUGAACGCACCUUGCGCUCCCUGGUAUUCCGGGGAGCACGCCUGUUCGAGUGUCAUGAAACUCUCAAGCAAGAUAGAUUUGUUUCUAUCUCUGUUUGGAUUUGGACUUUGCUGUGUCAAUGCAGCUGGUCUUAAAUGCAUUAGCUGGUCCUGACGAAGGUUUGGUUCUACUCAGCGUGAUAAUUAUCUAACGUUGAGGACAGUUCUCUUGGACUGGCCAGGCUCUCUUUGGAUUGCUUCUAAUCAUCUUCGGAUAAUUGCUUAAUAUCUGACCUCGAAUCAGGUGGGACUACCCGCUGAACUUAAGCAUAUCAAUAAGCGGAGGAAAAGAAACUAACAAGGAUUCCCCUAGUAACGGCGAGUGAAGCGGGAUGAGCUCAAAUUUAAAAUCUGGUAGUCUUUGGCUGCCCGAGUUGUAAUCUAGAGAAGUGUUUUCCGCGCUGGACUGUGUACAAGUUUCCUGGAUAUGGAACAUCAUAGAGGGUGAGAAUCCCGUCCUUGACACAGACUCCCAGUGCUCUGUGAUGCGCUCUCAACGAGUCGAGUUGUUUGGGAUUGCAGCUCAAAAUGGGAGGUAAAUUCCUUCUAAAGCUAAAUAUUGGCGAGAGACCGAUAGCGAACAAGUACCGUGAGGGAAAGAUGAAAAGCACUUUGGAAAGAGAGUUAAACAGUACGUGAAAUUGUUAAAAGGGAAACGAUUGAAGUCAGUCACAUCUACUUGGAUUCAGCCUUACUUUAGUUUGGUGCAUUUCCUUGUGGAUGGGCCAGUGUCCAUGUUGAUUGCUGGAAAAGGUUCAAAGGAAUGUGACUCUUUUAGAGUGUUAUAGCCUUGGUUCAUAUACAGUGGUUGAUAUGGAGUGGUACAGCAUGCUUCGGUGGUGCUUGUGCUGGCAUAAUG